UUGUACUCUGCUGUGAAAGCAAGUGGCUGAUAAUUUAGGAACAUUACCAGCAUGAUUAUCUUUUGCUUUCAAAAAAACUUUGAUAAAGCUACACUGGUAGGGUUAUUUUGCAUGUUGCUGUUCCUUGCUGACACUCAAAUCCUGACUUCUUGGAGAGAGGAAACCUUGCCACAUCAUCCCAUAAACACCCAUCAGCAGUGAGGCCAGAGAAGUGAGGCAGUGGGGGGCGAGCUUUCCAGCAGUGGUGAUGAUGGAACAACCUGAAGGAUAUGGAAGUCACUUACAGUCAUUAUUUAGAUACAGCUUCCUCUUGUCAUAAACAAAAAGAAACACAGAAAUGUAAAAACAAGAAGACACACCUUUUUUCUGUAUCCCAGUCAAGCCACAAAACAACAAAUGAUUACACAACCACAAGGGUACAAGGAAAAAAUACAUCAGUGUUUUCUCUAGAAGAUGGACUCUGUUCUCCAUUUUUACCCAUUUUUCUCCCCUCUGAUUGCAGAAAAAACACCUUGGAGGUUUUUUAUUGUUGUUUUUCCUGA
rnacentral:lncRNA from 1 species